rnacentral:rRNA from 1 species
AUGCUAGCAAGAUGGGCAACAUAUCUUGAGAGGUUUAACUAUCAAAUCGUGCAUAAAUCUGGAAUAACUAACAGAGUGGCCGAUGCUUUGAGUCGUCGUGCAUGCCUCUUGACUUCUUUUGAAGCUGAACUUCCGGGCAUGGGUCAAAUAAAGGAGUUGUAUGAGGGUGACGAAGACUUUGGCCAUGUUUGGGUAAAGCACGCAAGGGGCCAACCAUUAGGUGAUGACUAUUUGAUGCAAGAUGGAUAUCUCUUCAAAAAUGAUCGUUUGUGCAUUCCAAGAAGUUCUCUACGUGACAAGCUGGUUAGAGAGCUCCAUUCAAGUGAUCUUAGUGGCCAUGUUGGACGGGACAAGACUAUCGCUAACCUGGAAGCUCGCUACUUUUGGCCACAAAUAAAGAGAAAUGCUGGAAAGUUCGUUCAACGGUGCCCCGUAUGUCAGACCUGCAAAGGCCAAGUCCAGAACACAGGGUUAUACAUGCCUUUGCCUGUUCCUGUUGCUCCAUGGGAGGACAUUUCUAUGGACUUCGUCUUGGGCUUGCCAAGAACAAGACGAGGAACUGAUGAUGUAUUUGUGGUCGUGGAUAGAUUCUCUAAGAUGGCUCAUUUCAUCCCAUGCCGCAAGACAACGGAUGCUCAUCGUGUGGCAAAUCUAUUCUUUCGAGAAGUGGUCAGACUUCAUGGAGUUCCAAGGUCCAUUGUCUCAGACCGUGAUAGCAAGUUUCUUGCUGCAUUUUGGCUCACUUUGUGGAAGCAAUUCAACACUGAAUUGAAGUUUUCUAGCACUGCUCAUCCACAAACAGAUGGACAAACGGAAGUGGUGAACAAGUUUUUGGGUAAUCUGAUCCGUUGCAUUUGUGGAGAAAGAUAG